CCCCUCUCGGGGUCACACCUUGAGAGUUUUCAGUCCUCUACCAGUCUCGGCUACGGGAGGGAGAGUCUAGCAGGUGCAUCCCCAUUCCAUUCCUAGCUUGGGCAGUGGCUAGCGGGUGGAAGACCAUCUGCUACAAGU